GGUGCUUGUUUUGGCAUCACACUGAAAUUGGAAUGAUACACAGAAGAUUAAAGUGACUCCUACGCACAAAUGACACACACAUUUAUGAACCAUUCCAUAUUUGU
ensembl:snRNA U6 U6 spliceosomal RNA